CAUAACUGUGGCAAUUACACUGCUAACGUCUCUGAAGAGAAAGCAAACAGCCCAGCUUAGGCAGUCUGUCUUCUAGGGGUGGGCAGAGCUUUGCAGCUGAUCUGAGACUUGCUACCUUCACUUUCGAUAUGAAUCAGAUCAGUGUCUCAGCUCAGUACAGUAUAUAAGGAGGAGACAUGCGUCUGUGUCUGUGUGUCAAGAUAUCACAGCGGGAGACUGGCCCAUCUGUUCUACAUCAGUAAAGCUAAGAGGAACUGAAAAGUUUCAGGACUAACGGCAGGCUGAGCAGGGG